GGCACUAUGGCCGAGUGGUUAAGGCGACAGAUUCGAAUUAUGUAAUCUUAUCUGUUUCGCGUUGCGAGCGCAGGUUCAAGUCCUGCUGGUGUCG
rfam:Fomitopsis pinicola FP-58527 SS1 unplaced genomic scaffold FOMPIscaffold_50, whole genome shotgun sequence.